GAUGGAGAACGUAGCGAAAUGCGAUACGUAAUGUGAAUUGCAGAAUUCAGUGAAUCAUCGAGUCUUUGAACGCACAUUGCGCCCUCUGGUAUUCCGGAGGGCAUGCCUGUCCGAGCGUCAUUGCUGCCCUCAAGCACGGCUUGUGUGUUGGGCCCCGUCCUCCUUCCGGGGGACGGGUCCGAAAGGCAGCGGCGGCACCGCGUCCGGUCCUCAAGCGUAUGGGGCUUUGUCACUCGCUUUGUAGGCCUGGCCGGCGCUUGCCGAUCAACCAAACUUUUUAUCAGGUUGACCUCGGAUCAGGUAGGGAUACCCGCUGAACUUAAGCAUAUCAAUAAGCGGAGGA
rnacentral:misc_RNA from 1 species